rnacentral:rRNA from 1 species
AUGAACGCUAGCGGCAGGCUUAAUACAUGCAAGUCGAGGGGCAUCAGGGGUAGCGAUACUCGCUGGCGACCGGCAAACGGGUGCGGAACACGUACAGAACCUUCCUUAGAGUGGGAGAUAGCCCGGAGAAAUCCGGAUUAAUACCCCAUAGUAAUAUUUGGUGGCAUCAUUAGAUAUUUAAAGAUUUAUUGCUCUAAGAUGGCUGUGCGGCUGAUUAGGUAGUUGGUGUAGGUAACGGCUCACCAAGCCUGCGAUCAGUAACUGGUGUGAGAGGACUAACCCCCACACGGAUACUGGGACACGGAUCCGACUCCUACGGGAGGCAGCAGUAAGGAAUAUUGGACAAUGCCCGCAAGGGUGAUCCAGCCAUGCCGCGUGCAGGAAGACGGCCCUAUGGGUUGUAAACUGCUUUUAUACAAGAGAAAACCUCCCUACGUGUAGGGAGCUGAUAGUAUUGUAGGAAUAAGCACCGGCUAACUACGUG